rnacentral:rRNA from 1 species
CCCGGUGGCAAUAGCGGAGGGGUCAUACCCGUUCCCAUUCCGAACACGGAAGUCAAGCCCUCCAGCGCCGAUGGUACUAUCCUGGCAACGGGGUGGGAGAGUAGGACACUGCCGGGA